rnacentral:rRNA from 1 species
UACGUAGGGUGCAAGCGUUAAUCGGAAUUACUGGGCGUAAAGCGUGCGCAGGCGGUUCGGAAAGAAAGGUGUGAAAUCCCAGGGCUUAACCUGGGAAUGGCAUUUGGGACUGCAAGGCUUGAGUGCGGCAGAGGAGACUGGAAUUCCCGGUGUAGCAGUGAAAUGCGUAGAUAUCGGGAGGAAUACCGAUGGCGAAGGCAGGUCUCUGGGCUGACACUGACGCUCAUGCACGAAAGCGUGGGGAGCAAACAGG